AUUGAACGCUGGCGGCAGGCCUAACACAUGCAAGUCGAACGGUAACAGGAAGCAGCUUGCUGCUUUGCUGACGAGUGGCGGACGGGUGAGUAAUGUCUGGGAAACUGCCCGAUGGAGGGGGAUAACUACUGGAAACGGUAGCUAAUACCGCAUAACGUCGCAAGACCAAAGAGGGGGACCUUAGGGCCUCUUGCCAUCGGAUGUGCCCAGAUGGGAUUAGCUAGUAGGUGGGGUAACGGCUCACCUAGGCGACGAUCCCUAGCUGGUCUGAGAGGAUGACCAGCCACACUGGAACUGAGACACGGUCCAGACUCCUACGGGAGGCAGCAGUGGGGAAUAUUGCACAAUGGGCGCAAGCCUGAUGCAGCCAUGCCGCGUGUAUUAAGAAGGCCUUCGGGUUGUAAAGUACUUUCAGCGGGGAGGAAGGGAGUAAAGUUAAUACCUUGGCUCAUUGACGUUACCCGCAGAAGAAGCACCGGCUAACUCCGUG
rnacentral:rRNA from 1 species